GUAAAAAUAAGAAUUUAUCGAACAGACCUGUUUUGACAGGAGCUGCCGUGUGGCGGCAA
ncrna:unclassified sequences RAGATH-30 RNA